AGUGAACGCUGGCGGCAGGCCUAACACAUGCAAGUCGAGCGGCAGCGCGGGGGCAACCCUGGCGGCGAGCGGCGGACGGGUGAGGAAUUCGUCGGAAUCUGCCUUUUUGUGGGGGAUAACGUAGGGAAACUUACGCUAAUACCGCAUACGUCCUACGGGAGAAAGUGGGGGACCGCAAGGCCUCACGCAGAAAGAUGAGCCGACGACCGAUUAGCUAGUUGGUGGGGUAAAGGCCCACCAAGGCGACGAUCGGUAGCUGGUCUGAGAGGAUGAUCAGCCACACUGGGACUGAGACACGGCCCAGAAUCCUACGGGAGGCAGCAGUGGGGAAUAUUGGACAAUGGGCGCAAGCCUGAUCCAGCCAUGCCGCGUGUGUGAAGAAGGCCUUCGGGUUGUAAAGCACUUUUGUCCGGAAAGAAAUCCCUGGAGCUAAUACCUUCGGGGGAUGACGGUACCGGAAGAAUAAGCACCGGCUAACUUCGU
rnacentral:rRNA from 1 species